rnacentral:lncRNA from 1 species
GGGCCCCCUCUCAUGGCUCUGUGCACCUGUGUCUGUCAUUGUCGUCCUCUCCCCUCCCCCCGCCCCGCUCGCCCAAUGUGUCCUGAUAUUUCACUCUUGCGAUCUGGUCACCCUACCUGUGGCUGAAGUAGGAACACAUUCAGAGCUGAUGGAGAAAAGGGGGUUAUAUUAUUCACUUGCAGCAGCACAGGAACACCUUCCCAAAGUUUCUUUCCUCAAGCUUUUUAAAUUAAAC